rnacentral:lncRNA from 1 species
GAUUCAGGUCGGAGGAAGCAUUUCUAAGGAACAAGCCAGGACUCACGCACUUCAUCUAGGCAGCCUUUAGACACUGCAGAAUUGACAGUGCCAACUAGCAUUGGACUCUUUCAAGAUGAGCUUCCUCUUGCCCAAACUGACCAGCAAGAAAGAAGUAGACCAGGCGAUCAAAAGCACUGCGGAGAAGGUCUUGGUUCUCAGGUUUGGGAGGGAUGAGGAUCCCGUCUGUCUGCAGCUGGAUGAUAUUAAUGUGCCGUGUGGAGAAAUGGAGUUUCACAGCGUCCUCACAGUCAGUAAAGAAGGAAAUUGUGAC